rnacentral:ncRNA from 1 species
UAUCAAUAUUUGCUCCCGCUAACCAAGACCUAUGGGAGGAUAAAUUACGUCUUUUUACCUGCAAGUGAGGGAUUUGCAGGAAUAAGUUUCGCU